rnacentral:pre_miRNA from 1 species
GGGUUUGGAGUGGAGCUCUCUGAAGUCCAAUAGAGGAACUAACAGGGAAGAUAAAGCUGCUGAUCUAUGGAUCCCUCAGCCCUAAAAACUUGACAAAAUAUUUAGGGUUGUGGCUUGCAUAUGUCAGGAGCUGCAUUACCUUUGUUGAGCUCCUUGUUUGGAUUGAAGGGAGCUCUGCACUUCUCUCUU